ACCCUUUAAUGUUUGAUGUUCUAACGUGGACCCGUGAUCCGGGUUGCGGACAGUGUCUGGUGGGUAGUUUGACUGGGGCGGUCUCCUCCUAAAGAGUAACGGAGGAGCACGAAGGUUGGCUAAUCCUGGUCGGACAUCAGGAGGUUAGUGCAAUGGCAUAAGCCAGCUUGACUGCGAGCGUGACGGCGCGAGCAGGUGCGAAAGCAGGUCAUAGUGAUCCGGUGGUUCUGAAUGGAAGGGCCAUCGCUCAACGGAUAAAAGGUACUCCGGGGAUAACAGGCUGAUACCGCCCAAGAGUUCAUAUCGACGGCGGUGUUUGGCACCUCGAUGUCGGCUCAUCACAUCCUGGGGCUGAAGUAGGUCCCAAGGGUAUGGCUGUUCGCCAUUUAAAGUGGUACGCGAGCUGGGUUUAGAACGUCGUGAGACAGUUCGGUCCCUAUCUGCCGUGGGCGCUGGAGAACUGAGGGGGGCUGCUCCUAGUACGAGAGGACCGGAGUGGACGCAUCACUGGUGUUCGGGUUGUCAUGCCAAUGGCACUGCCCGGUAGCUAAAUGCGGAAGAGAUAAGUGCUGAAAGCAUCUAAGCACGAAACUUGCCCCGAGAUGAGUUCUCCCUGAGACUUAAAGUCU
rnacentral:rRNA from 1 species